rnacentral:rRNA from 1 species
UACAGAGACUGCGAGCGUUAUUCGGAUUCACUGGGCGUAAAGGAUGCGCAGGCGGCCGUGUGUGUGAGGCGUGAAAGCCCGGGGCUUAACCCCGGAAUUGCACCUCAAACUACACGGCUAGAGCAUUGGAGAGGGUAGCGGAAUUCACGGUGUAGCAGUGAAAUGCGUAGAUAUCGUGAGGAACACCAGAGGCGAAGGCGGCUACCUGGACAAUUGCUGACGCUCAGGCACGAAAGCGUGGGGAGCAAAAGGG